rnacentral:rRNA from 1 species
UACGUAGGUGGCAAGCGUUGUCCGGAAUUAUUGAGCGUAAAGCGCGCGCAGGCGGUCCUUUAAGUCUGAUGUGAAAGCCCACGGCUCAACCGUGGAAGGUCAUUGGAAACUGGGGGACUUGAGUGCAGAAGAGGAAAGUGGAAUUCCAAGUGUAGCGGUGAAAUGCGUAGAGAUUUGGAGGAACACCAGUGGCGAAGGCGACUUUCUGGUCUGUAACUGACGCUGAGGCGCGAAAGCGUGGGGAGCAAACAGG